rnacentral:misc_RNA from 1 species
UUGUAGGCGGUGAAGAUGUCUGCAAACUUGGAACUGCUUGAGAAGUGGGACGCGCAGAUGGAAUAUGUGAAAAAGCAGGUCCAGGUGCAAUGGAAGUUACAGUGGUUGGUUCAACUUUUACAGUUGCAGUGGGAACAUUUGCAACUGAAAUUGGUGGCCGGUUCAAGAUAGAUCCAUUCACUGAUGGUAUUGAAGGUGGAGCUGGCCCUGCAGCAGAAGUAACUGAAGCAACGUCCACUUUUACAGGACUCUGAUUAGAAGGUAGAUUUGCAACUCCAGGACGACUUAAAGAAGCACGCGCCUCCAUGAAGUUCUCAGAGAUUAGAACAAGAAAAUGAGGAUUUUUAACAUUGUCAACUAUUGGAUCUGCUGCUCGGAUGUUCC